ACUACGGGUGGCAGCAGUGGGGAAUAUUGCACAAUGGGGGAAACCCUGAUGCAGCGACACCGCGUGAGUGAAGAAGUCAUUCGUUAUGUAAAUCUCUAUCAGCAGGGAAGAAAAUGACGGUACCUGAGUAAGAAGCCCCGGCUAACUACGUGCCAGCCGCCGCGGUAAUACGUGGGGUUCAAGCGUUAUCCGGAUUUACUGGUGGUAAAGGGAGCGUAGACGGCAGUGUAAGUCUGGAGUGAAAGGCGGGGGCUCAACCCCCGGACUGCUCUGGAAACUGUACGGCUGGAGUGCAGGAGAGGUAAGGGGAAUUCCUAGUGUAGCGGUGAAAUGCGUAGAUAUUAGGAGGAACACCAGUGGCGAAGGCGGCUUACUGGACUGUAACUGACGUUGAGGCUCGAAAGCGUGGGGAGCAAACAGGAUUAGAUACCCUGGUAGUC
rnacentral:rRNA from 1 species